rnacentral:rRNA from 1 species
CUUACCAUGCAGUCGAACGGCAGCACGGGAGUAAUCCUGGUGGCGAGUGGCGAACGGGUGAGUAAUACAUCGGAACGUGUCCUGUAGUGGGGGAUAGCCCGGCGAAAGCCGGAUUAAUACCGCAUACGCUCUACGGAGGAAAGGGGGGGAUCUUAGGACCUCUCGCUACAGGGGCGGCCGAUGGCAGAUUAGCUAGUUGGUGGGGUAAAGGCCUACCAAGGCGACGAUCUGUAGCUGGUCUGAGAGGACGACCAGCCACACUGGGACUGAGACACGGCCCAGACUCCUACGGGAGGCAGCAGUGGGGAAUUUUGGACAAUGGGCGCAAGCCUGAUCCAGCAAUGCCGCGUGUGUGAAGAAGGCCUUCGGGUUGUAAAGCACUUUUGUCCGGAAAGAAAACUUCUGCCCUA